CUCGCUCACUCUCAUAUUCCGCAUUAAGGAAUCACAUUUCAUUGAAGGAGGAGAAUCGAGGCUUCAUUUCUUCCUCUUCCUCCUCUCAAAACUGUCUUAUUUCCCAUCCAGGCCCCUCUCUCAUCUUUUCUUCACUUCUGAUCUUUCUCUCCCCCCCCCCCCCCCCCCCAUUUUGUCCACUGCAUUUUACUCUGAUGCAUCUUCAAUUUUUCCCCUCUUUUGUUUCACUCAUCCUCCUGUCCCAUUCUUUCCCCAUCCCAAUAAGCCUCUCUUCACUUUGGGUCAACUCUCCUCCUCUUACCCCUCAGACUUUGCAGACACUGCAGUCUUUCAUUCUUACUUGUUAUUAGUGUUUAUUCUGUUGUUUUGAAGGAACUUUUUGCUCACGGAAAAGUUUGCUGUCGCUCUUUUUUAUCUGAUAUUAUAUUUACAUAGAGUUUGUUUGGUUUUUCAGAUUUAUGUUGUCGUAUUUUUUUAACGAAAAUGUUCUCUUUUUUUGUUCAUUUUUGAUGACCCUGGACUUGACAACACUCAGUCCACACAUGCUUACCCUGCUGGACGCACGCACAAACACCAUUUUGUCUACAGGUUCCUUCACUCUAGCUGACAUCAGAAGUCAUGUGGUAGCAGAGGAGUGACCAGGGUUCUAGCACAGAGGCCUACAGAGUUGUUGGCUCCUCCAGUGGAAGUACGAUGAUGCACUUAUUGACAGGAAACUCGGGGUCGAGUGCAUGCCAUCUCAUAAAAAUUACAACAUAGGCCAAAAGGCUUUUGCUUUGGUGCUUGUAGCAUAAUUCGUUGACCAAAUGUUCAUGUAUGAGCAAAGUGUGGAUGGAAAAGGAUGAGUAGGAGAAAUGCAAGGUAUUUAAAGUGCAUUUAAAGUUAGCGCAGAUGAGAUUAUAUAACUGGUUAAUUUACUAUUUAAAAAUGCAAAAGGGCUUAUGCAUAAGGCGCAUACAAGCCGUUGAAGUUGCAUGUGUUGAGACGGGAGGAAACCACGUGAAUAAACUGUACCUAGAUAAAGACCAGGCUUCUCUCUGCUGUAGGGCUACAGUGCUAAACACAGAGACACUUUUAUAACUCAUAAAGCACUUCAUUUCUAUAGUGAACCAUACAUCUUUCAACCAUUUUGACGAACAAACGUUGGGAAUUGCGUCAGCUGGCAGAGAGCGUGUGGUGGUAGAUCAUACAAAGGAAAGGAGCUUUUUAAUGCCGAAAAGUGAAAAUAGUUUAAUAUGUGCAAAAAAAACAGGCAAUUUAUAGCAUGCAGAACCCAAAACGGGCUUGGAUUCUGGAUAUUCUGGAUUGCAGAUUUAAGCCUUUUUUGUUUUAUUUCUGGAGGGUUUUAUGACCUUUAACUGACACGAUAGCUUGAAGACAGGAAAGGGGAGAGAGAGGAGGUGACACGCAGCAAAGGCUAGGAACCAGGGCCACUGCCAAGGACUCAGCAAGGGGCGCACACUCUACUGUGGGAGCUAGAGGUUGCCCCCUCUUUUGUUUUCUUGAAUAAAUGAUCCUCUGUUUUUUUACUUUGUAUUGUUAGUGACCUUUUGUGGGAGCCUGUUUUCUUUUCAGAUUGUAUCCCUCCAGAAGCUACAUGUCUGGCUAAGGAGUCUCUGAGCAAGACCUGUUCUUUGCAACAUUCUCAGCAUCAAAGGAAAAGGGAAUUCACCCUCAGCGGUCACCAGACCAGAACAGAUGUAACAAGAAGUCAUCCACAGCAAGUAGCUGACAGUGUUUCUUCAUCAACCUGCAUAAAUACUGAAUGCUCAACGUUGUUCGUCCUAAGCCAACGCAGACACAUCCACAAUCAGUCUCUCGGCGCCAGCACGGCGCAGCCCAUGCAUAUGGAAGCAGUGAGCAGCAGACCUGAGGAGACAUUGUGUCGAGAAGAGAAGAUUCUCAAGCGCUGAUGGAGUAAAACGCAGAUCUGUGAGGAUGCCCUCAGCCUCUCGGUUCAAAAUGACAAUGUUAUUGUUAUUAUUGUAUGGGUAGAUGUAAUGCAAAUGAAAAAGGGUUGCAUGGAACAUCAAACAGCGUCUACUAUAGACUGUAGUUGCAGUUCAUCUCCCAUGUUUAAUAAAGUUGCACAGGUGGGGACAGUACUGUGGGGUAAACAGAAAGCAUUGCUGGCCUUGAGGAUGUAAUCACUAAUUGACAAUUGACCUAUUGAUCUUGUCCAUCACUAUACCGCAAAACAGUGUUCACUCUGUGUUCCCCUCGCUUAGAGAAAAAAAACUUCACAUGAUCUUUAGCUCUGUAAUAUGUUUUUUUACGCUCCGUGGAAUCUGGUUGCAAAGGUCAGGGAUAUAAAAUAGAUUUUGGUACAAGGUACAAGAUUUUGGUUGCUGCGUGUUAAAAACAAAAAACAGACCGCACAACAAAUUUUAAAAUUGAUUGUAAUCACUUGAGACAAUGUGCAGUAGAAUGGAAAACUGUGAGCUAUUGAAUUAUGAAUCAAAUGCCAUGUGCGCAACAGCAGUAAUGCUUCCAAACCCAUCAUGAGAUUUGUUAAAUGCAGUCCUGUUACCGUGUAUUUCCAGCACUGCAGUUCUUAUGAGGACAAUACAAAAAGACUCUGCAGUUCUCCAGAGCGGUGUGCUACAGCUUCAUUGUGUUAUGCACUAUUGAGCAGUAUUAAUUACCUGACUAAUUUAAGAAUUAAAAGAUAUAAAUAAUGCAUUGUCUUAUAAUAGUGUAAUUGCUCUUGGGGGAAUUGUGU